rnacentral:lncRNA from 1 species
CUUGAUUCAAAACCCCAUAUUGUUAUCGUGAUUCAUAUCAGAUCCUUCUUGUAUUAUUUGGCAAUUGAGUGCCUGUUCUACCUGUUCUUGCAUGUUCUUCAAUUGCGUGCAGGAAUUACCCUAGUGGUUUGGUUGGUUGUGAUCAACAAGAUCGUGAUCAACCGCUGGAAUUGGUGUAUCGAUCGCUAAGGCGCAGCGUCCUUGGACGGUUGUAGUCGGAUCGUGAACGUCGCUCCAGAGAGAUCGAAGUUAUCCAUCUCCACCGAAAGAUCGGGACACCCUCGUUCUUAUUAUGUGGCAUCAGAUCAAGGUUUCAUCGGUGAGAGAAUUUAGUUUGCAUUUUUUCCUAUUGCCUAGAAAAAGCCAAGAAAAAUAGUACUUUCAUUUCUAUCAUCCUAUAGACCCUUUGAGCCUUUUACUAGUACUACUUAGUUCAGGCUUGUUGUGUUUGAUUUACAUCGGUUGAGUCGAGUUGCUGGUCUUAGGUUUAGACUUUUAGAGUUUCGAGUUUUUGUCACGUUUUAGUCAUUGCCCAUCGUAUAAUCUCCGCUGCAAUCACUAUUACCAUAUACAUUUGGACUACACUAUAUAUAUCUGAACUACCAUCACCACCCUACUUGGGCACCGUGUAAACUCCAUCCACCACUCUAUUUUCACUCAUGCGCACCCUAUAUUUUUAGGCCAUUGCAUGCACGUUUUCACUUCCACCCGUGAGCAACCUAUUCUUACUCACUGCCACCUGCAUGUUCCUUUCUUCCAUUCAUACAUCCUAUUGUAAGCGCUCUUGCACAUUCUAUAAUCAGCAUCCUAUUUUUAAUCAGCAUCCUAUUGCAACCACUAGAUUCAUUCCACUCUUGGGCAUCUAAUUUUAGAACAUUGCAUCCUUGUCCACUUCAUGCGCAUCCUUUUGCCUCUCCUCCACUCUUCUUUCACAUUCUAUUUUUCUCAUCCCCGUUGCAAUCAGUGUUACUGCAGCAUCAUAUCACCAUCAUAAUCUGCUAGUUGUAUUUUUGUUACACUAAAGACAUUGUGUGUUUUCUAAAAUCUAAUCCAUCAAGAUUCAGAUUUAUUUUAGUUGAGCAAAGUAGGAAAAAAAUAGAAAGAAACAAAAAAAUAUCAGAAAAAAAGAAAAGAAAAAGGAAACAAAAGAAAAAAAAAGGAAACAAAAGAAAGGAAGAGGAAAAGAAGGGAAGUUAUCUCUUGUUGUUCUUAUUAUUCUUGUGAUAUUGUGACUUCAUCUGUGCCCAGGCUCGCGUCUCUAGCACGGUCUAGCCUAGGACCAGCACAGUGCCACCGUUGAAUGAUUUCUCAACAUGCUUUUGUGACUAAUGUGGUGCUAGUACUUCCUUGUGCAAUAUAUAGAGCCAUCCUAUAACUCCACAUAUUAGACUACAACUUGACAAGUGUUGUUGCUGCAGCGUUGAUACACCAUUUUCUAGGUUUUCUGACUUGUUGGUUCCUGCCACCUCCUGUUUCGCUUGGUAAGAACUUGUGAGAACUUGUUUGCAUAGGGUGAGAUUGAAAUAAUUACAACAACCACAUCCUUGUAGUUGAUAGGAGCAUAAAGAUUAUUGCGUAUGUCUCUUGUUUUGUUCUAAUCAUGGCGGGAAUCCACAUAGAAACAAGCGAUAAUCAGAUUGCAUGUUCACAUCACUUUGCUAAAGGUGUGGCAAGUGAUAAGUAUGGCACUCAUGAGGUAUGUGAUGUUUUGCUAGAUGAAAUAAAAUCUACAUUACCUUAUUUUGAAGGAAAUUGUGAUCCACAUGCAUAUAUUAAAUGGGAGCUAAAUGUAGACAAUGAAUUUAAAAAGCAUAAUCUAUUUGAAAGCCAAAAGAUUAGAGUUGCUUCCAGUGUUCUUACUGAGUAUGCUUUAAGUUCAUGGAAAU